GACAGGGGGCUCGAGCGUUAAUCGGAAUCACUGGGCUUAAAGGGUGCGUAGGCGGGCCAGUAAGCGUCUUGUGAAAUCCCCCGGCUCAACCGGGGAACUGCGGGGCGAACUGCUGGUCUUGAGGAAGCUAGAGGCCGGUAGAACGAUUGGUGGAGCGGUGGAAUGCGUAGAUAUCAUUUGGAACGCCAACGGCGAAAGCAGGCGGCUGGGGGUGAUCUGACGCUGAGACACGAAAGCCAGGGGAGCGAACGGG
rnacentral:rRNA from 1 species